AUGGUGGGGGGUGGAAAGCUUUAUUGUGGUUUUGGAUGGACUCGCGGCCUAUCAGCUUGUUGGUGAGGUAAUGGCUUACCAAGGCGACGACGGGUAGCCGGCCUGAGAGGGUGACCGGCCACACUGGGACUGAGACACGGCCCAGACUCCUACGGGAGGCAGCAGUGGGGAAUAUUGCACAAUGGGCGCAAGCCUGAUGCAGCGACGCCGCGUGAGGGAUGACGGCCUUCGGGUUGUAAACCUCUUUCAGUAGGGAAGAAGCGAAAGUGACGGUACCUGCAGAAGAAGCGCCGGCUAACUACGUGCCAGCAGCCGCGGUAAUACGUAGGGCGCAAGCGUUAUCCGGAAUUAUUGGGCGUAAAGAGCUCGUAGGCGGUUUGUCGCGUCUGCCGUGAAAGUCCGGGGCUCAACUCCGGAUCUGCGGUGGGUACGGGCAGACUAGAGUGAUGUAGGGGAGACUGGAAUUCCUGGUGUAGCGGUGAAAUGCGCAGAUAUCAGGAGGAACACCGAUGGCGAAGGCAGGUCUCUGGGCAUUAACUGACGCUGAGGAGCGAAAGCAUGGGGAGCGAACAGGAUUAGAUACCCUGGUAGUCCAUGCCGUAAACGUUGGGCACUAGGUGUGGGGGACAUUCCACGUUUUCCGCGCCGUAGCUAACGCAUUAAGUGCCCCGCCUGGGGAGUACGGCCGCAAGGCUAAAACUCAAAGGAAUUGACGGGGGCCCGCACAAGCGGCGGAGCAUGCGGAUUAAUUCGAUGCAACGCGAAGAACCUUACCAAGGCUUGACAUGAACCGGUAAGACCUGGAAACAGGUCCCCCGCUUGCGGUCGGUUUACAGGUGGUGCAUGGUUGUCGUCAGCUCGUGUCGUGAGAUGUUGGGUUAAGUCCCGCAACGAGCGCAACCCUCGUUCUAUGUUGCCAGCACGUGAUGGUGGGGACUCAUAGGAGACUGCCGGGGUCAACUCGGAGGAAGGUGGGGACGACGUCAAAUCAUCAUGCCCCUUAUGUCUUGGGCUUCACGCAUGCUACAAUGGCCGGUACAAAGGGUUGCGAUACUGUGAGGUGGAGCUAAUCCCAAAAAGCCGGUCUCAGUUCGGAUUGGGGUCUGCAA
rnacentral:rRNA from 1 species